UGGGGAAUUUUGGACAAUGGGCGAAAGCCUGAUCCAGCAAUGCCGCGUGUGUGAAGAAGGCCUUCGGGUUGUAAAGCACUUUUGUCCGGAAAGAAAUCCUUGGCUCUAAUACAGUCGGGGGAUGACGGUACCGGAAGAAUAAGCACCGGCUAACUACGUGCCAGCAGCCGCGGUAAUACGUAGGGUGCAAGCGUUAAUCGGAAUUACUGGGCGUAAAGCGUGCGCAGGCGGUUUGCUAAGACCGAUGUGAAAUCCCCGGGCUCAACCUGGGAACUGCAUUGGUGACUGGCAGGCUAGAGUAUGGCAGAGGGGGGUAGAAUUCCACGUGUAGCAGUGAAAUGCGUAGAGAUGUGGAGGAAUACCGAUGGCGAAGGCAGCCCCCUGGGCCAAUACUGACGCUCAUGCACGAAAGCGUGGGGAGCAAACAGGAUUAGAUACCCCUGGUAGUCCACGCCCUAAACGAUGUCAACUAGUUGUUGGGGAUUCAUUUCCUUAGUAACGUAGCUAACGCGUGAAGUUGACCGCCU
rnacentral:rRNA from 1 species